rnacentral:tRNA from 1 species
GGAGUUGUGGCUCAGUGGUAGAGUGCUCACCUCGAACAUGUGAGACCCUGGGUUCGAUCCUCAGCACCA